UUUGGAAUGAGGCUGCCUUGGGGUUGCCCCUGGCAACCAAACUGCUUCAGUGACGUUCAUUUCUUAGAGAAGACUUGAGCUGGAGGAGGUCACUAACCCGUAGGAUGCAGAGAAUAUACCAGACAUCGUCCUCUCUUCCUCCUCCCAGUCCCAGAUCCCAAGGCUAUGGACACUUGCAGAUUACACAUGCAGAGCACGCUGCCCAAGUGCCCACCACCCUUGCUGAGAGGACUAACUUCACCUACUGCCUCCCUUAGAAACAGGAAGCUGCUUACAAGCAAUGCCUCAGAAGCCAGUCUGCCUGCAUUCAAAUAGUAGCUCUACCACUUAACAGU
rnacentral:lncRNA from 1 species